AUUGAACGCUGGCGGCAUGCUUUACACAUGCAAGUCGAACGGUAACAGGCCUUCGGGUGCUGACGAGUGGCGAACGGGUGAGUAAUGCAUCGGAACGUGCCCAGAGGUGGGGGAUAACGCAGCGAAAGCUGUGCUAAUACCGCAUGUGAUCUGAGGAUGAAAGCGGGGGACCAGGCAGCAAUGUUUGGCCUCGCGCCUUUGGAGCGGCCGAUGUCAGAUUAGGUAGUUGGUGGGGUGAAGGCCUACCAAGCCGACGAUCUGUAGCUGGUCUGAGAGGACGACCAGCCACACUGGGACUGAGACACGGCCCAGACUCCUACGGGAGGCAGCAGUGGGGAAUUUUGGACAAUGGGCGCAAGCCUGAUCCAGCAAUGCCGCGUGCGGGAAGAAGGCCUUCGGGUUGUAAACCGCUUUUGUACGGAACGAAAAGGCUCUGGCUAAGACCUGGGGCUGAUGACGGUACCGUAAGAAUAAGCACCGGCUAACUACGU
rnacentral:rRNA from 1 species